AGAGUUUGAUCAUGGCUCAGAGUGAACGCUGGCGGCAGGCCUAAUACAUGCAAGUCGAACGGCAGCACAGCAGAGCUUGCUCUGUGGGUGGCGAGUGGCGGACGGGUGAGGAAUACGUGGGAAUCUGCCCAGUCGUGGGGAUAACGUAGGGAACUUACGCUAAUACCGCAUGCGCCCUUCGGGGAAAGCCGGGGACCUUCGGGCCUGGCGCGAUUGGAUGAGCCCACGUCGGAUUAGCUAGUUGGCGGGGUAAAGGCCCACCAAGGCGACGAUCCGUAGCUGGUCUGAGAGGAUGAUCAGCCACACUGGAACUGAGACACGGUCCAGACUCCUACGGGAGGCAGCAGUAGGGAAUAUUGGACAAUGGGCGCAAGCCUGAUCCAGCCAUGCCGCGUGAGUGAAGAAGGCCCUCGGGUUGUAAAGCUCUUUUGUCCGGAAAGAAAAGCGCCGGGUUAAUACCCUGGUGUCCUGACGGUACCGGAAGAAUAAGCACCGGCUAACUUCGUG
rnacentral:rRNA from 1 species